rnacentral:rRNA from 1 species
UACGGAGGAGGCAAGCGUUAUCCGGAAUGAUUGGGCGUAAAGCGUCCGUAGGUGGUUUUUCCAGUCGGCUGUUAAAGAGCAAAGCUCAACUUUGUAAAGGCAGUGGAAACUGAAAGACUAGAGAGCCGUAGGGGCAGGUGGAAUUCCGGGUGUAGCGGUGGAAUGCGUAGAUAUCGAGAGGAACACCUGCGGCGAAGGCGGGUUGCUGGGCUGACACUGACGCUGAGGCGCGAAAGCCAGGGGAGCGAACGGG